UGCUACAGGACUAAAGUUGGAGUCACAUGGUUUCAAAGUUUGUGGAAAGUUUUUUCUCCUUUUUUAUGUCCUGUGUGUGUGUCAAGGUUUCAGAUGCGAGUCCUUCAAAGCAUCAGACUGCGUCUCCCUUCAGCUGGUGUGGAGCUCAUUUUCCAACUUCUUUCACAAAAAAGAAUUGAUGUUGAAAAAUAAAAAGAAGCUCAUAAGAGAAAAUGCUGGUGGAUUUUCUGAUGUGUCUGGAGCCUCUCAGAAAGCAAUAAAAUUUCUGAAUGGGGCAAUGUGGAGAAAUCCUAAGAGAAAUAGCAUAAGAGCAUUUUGGAAUAUAUCCCGGAAAAGAUAACUUUCUACACAUCCGGUAGAGAUUCGCCAGGAAAAGGAGACCUGCAACAUGCGAAUGCUGUAUGUCUCUUUUCUGGAAGACAGGUGCCGAGGAGUCAGACUUGAUGGUUCUUCUCUUGAGCAAUAAGGUUUUUUUUAAUCAUCAAAUACUUUAGGUCUCUAAACAGGAACAUCAUUUAGAACUCGAAUGGAUACUUUGAAUGCAGUUCAGAGGGACAAAGAUUGCGUUGGUAACUAUGUAGUAUUUGGGACGCUGGACGAGUUUGUUAACCAAAGCAGAGCUAACACUUUUAUUUGUUGGUAGGUUUUAUACACGUAAUAUUAGCACUAUAACAAGAUGGUCUUUCCAGAAGGCAUGGAAAUCAAGCUGUGGGUUCUUAGGACUGUAUUAGUUUUAUGCCUCAUGACUGUGGAUAAAGUAAAGAGGUUAUAAGUCGAGCACGAGUUAUAUUGGAGCAAGCAUUCCCACGGGAAGAGCUUCUGAUUUUCAAACAAUUGGUGGGAUAUAUUUGUUGUAUACAACUUGAAAUGUUGAUCUUUCUAACUAUUUCAGAUAAAUUGCCGUCAAGUGAAUUGGAAUGUGCCUUUAGAUCCACUUAGAAUGAGUAAUACAAAAGAAGUUAUUCUCCUGUAAGCCAUGUUUACGCAGUUCAGAUAAAAAAUUAUGACUUUCCUAAUAAAAUCAUCCUAGAUUAAAUAAAUUUAAAAUAA
rnacentral:lncRNA from 1 species